rnacentral:tRNA from 1 species
UUAAGAUUUAUAAUAUAUAAAUUUGUUUUAUUGUCUGUAAAAAGAAAAGAAAAACUUAAUCUUAUUAUGGU